rnacentral:rRNA from 1 species
AUGCCCCCUACAUUCCAACCAGGAGCUAUGCCAAUGGUUCAACGCCUUCGGUUCGGUCUCCGAGUGAAUGACGUCCUCAGUCCUGACUUUGAUUUGAGCAUAAGGAACCUUCCUUCGCUCAAGCAACUCAGAAUUGACCUUUUCAAUAAUGGAGCCGGACCUGAGGAUUAUUCUCAAGCCGUGGACAUGCUGAGGCAUUUGGCAGAUGACCAUCCCAAAAAUCCCACCCUUCGUGCUGAUAAAUUCAUCCGGAAGAGGCUGAGUCGAGUCGAGCCGAGCAAUGAACAAAAUCCUGUGUCCUCAAGCUACCAGGAGGUGAUUCCAUCGGCAUCGACUCUCUAUCGUGCAAGCCUCCAUCUUCCAACCACGUAUGCAUGUUCAAUUCAUGUUUCUUCUAUGUCAUCGAGUGCAACUUCUGUGUGCUUUCGCCUGUACUGUUUAUUUGGUGAACCAUCUAAUUUGCUCAGUGUGUAA